GAAACUGAAGAAGGGCUCGAUCUACAGGCUCGAAUCUUUCAUGGUUGUCGCUGCCCAGCCCAAAUACACGACACCAGAUGACCGUACAAAAUAAGAAUUACUCAGAACACAAAAAUCGUUGAGGACAUGGGUUUGACAACCUGAUUCACUCAUCUACAAAUAUGGCCAUCACUUAAAGCGCAAGCUCAUAUAACAAAACACUAUUUUGACAGUUGCUGCCAAGGUUGCACAUACAACGCAUGACCAGAACAAGCAUAGGAGUAAAGAAGGCAGCUAGGAGGCUGCAUACAUUACACACAAGGCUUCUUAUGAGACAACCAGUUUGUCAACUUUUGGCAUCUAGGCCGCGAUGUAAAUGUAAGCUAUCUUAUGCAAUGCUCGGAUGAUAACUAGAACUUUAUGUAUAAUUAGCCAGCUUAGUCAGCACUGCAGUAGCAGUCUAUUACAUGUACCUCAAGACUAUCUUAUGUGAUGCUACUAAAAUAGUUUCUCUUUCA